AAGCUACACUCUGUGUCAGAAGUCCAGCUGGACAAUGAUCUGACUCAAUUUGAGUUUUGCUAUAACAAAGUCUCUUCAGUCUCUGUUCAUUGAGAACUCCUCCUUGGAAUUCUGUCGACACAAAGACUGGCACAAU
rnacentral:snoRNA from 1 species